CAAAAUGUAGCUUAAUAAAAGCAAUUCGCUUACACCGAAAAGAUGUCUGUUAACUUGGACCAUUUUGA
rnacentral:tRNA from 1 species